UACGUAGGGUGCAAGCGUUGUCCGGAAUUAUUGGGCGUAAAGAGCUCGUAGGCGGUCUGUUGCGUCGGCUGUGAAAACCCGGGGCUCAACCCCGGGCCUGCAGCCGAUACGGGCAGACUAGAGUUCGGCAGGGGAGACUGGAAUUCCUGGUGUAGCGGUGGAAUGCGCAGAUAUCAGGAGGAACACCGGUGGCGAAGGCGGCUUGCUGGGCCAGUUCUGACGCUGAGGAGCGAAAGCGUGGGGAGCGAACAGG
rnacentral:rRNA from 1 species